GUGGGGAAUAUUGGGCAAUGGGCGAAAGCCUGACCCAGCGACGCCGCGUGAGGGAAGAAGGUCUUCGGAUUGUAAACCUCUUUCAGCAGGGAAGAAGAAAGUGACGGUACCUGCAGAAGAAGUCACGGCUAACUACGUGCCAGCAGCCGCGGUAAUACGUAGGUGGCGAGCGUUAUCCGGAAUUACUGGGUGUAAAGGGUGUGUAGGCGGGAGUGCAAGUCAGACGUGAAAACUAUGGGCUCAACCCAUAACGUGCGUUUGAAACUGUGCUUCUUGAGAGUGGGAGAGGUAAACGGAAUUCCUGGUGUAGUAGUGAAAUGCGUAGAUAUCAGGAGGAACACCGGUGGCGAAGGCGGUUUACUGGACCACAACUGACGCUGAGACACGAAAGCGUGGGGAGCAAACAGG
rnacentral:rRNA from 1 species